UUAGUAAAUAAAAAUAAAAAAGAAAGAGGGAAAGGAAAAAGAUCUUUUUCUUCUUCAUCUCACGAUUUCCCCUUUCUCUCUAGAAAACUCUCAACAUUGACUCCUCUCCUUUUGGCGGCACACCUCCGACGACGACAUACACCACUGUCAGGUCUCCCUGCAUCAUCUUUGCCGCAUUCUACAAGUCAGUUGGUUGCACUGCUGCUCUGUCCGCGAUUUCUGUUUGCGCUGCUGCAGUUGCGUCUGCUCCACUCGUUGGAGUUCGCUGUCGUUUUGGUUUCAUCGGAAUUGGAGCUUUACUGCAAGUGUGCUGCUCAACUCUACGUUCAGCUUACGUACACGGUGGGUCUCAAAGUCUUACGGUGGGUUGUGGCUGUUAAAAAUUGGAACCUCAAUGCUAGAUCUCUCUCUCUUGUGUUGCUCAGUCGUUGGUACAACUCGAUCUUAUCGCAUGAAGUUGGAUCUUGAAGUUUUGGAUUUGAGUUCUUGGAAGGAUUUAGCUACUGUCCAGCCUUCAGGAAACUCAGAAUUAGGCGUUUUCACUCAACUCGGCGCCACCUAUGGUUGUUACGGGAUUCCGAGGCUGAAAUAGACCAUGAUCGGAGAUUCGAGAACUUGAGCCGAGGUGAGGACAUGGAUGAAGGAUGUGCUUUUGGCUUUUGGCCUAGUUUAACCUAUGGUGGGUGGCUCUAUGUGCACAUAGAAGCGGAGGUUGUUACUGUGGUAGGUGUUAAGUAUGCGUGAGCUUCAUUUGGCCACGUGUUUCCUUGUGGAAAUGAAUCAUGUGUUAGCUAUUCCGGACCGUGUAUUUAGUAUGCUAUCAUGGUUGGAUUGCAUGAAGGUUGUUACUGUGUUAGGUGCUAAGUAUGCGUGAACUCCGUUUGGCCGUGUGUUUCCUUGUGGAUAUGGAUCACGUGUGAGCUAUACAGGGUCGUCUAUUUAAUAUGCUAUCAUGGUUGGUUUUGAUGGAGGUUGCUAUCGUGGCGGGUACUAAAUAUGGAUGAGCUAGUUUUGGCCGCAUGAUUUUUGGUCAUGUGUGAGCUAUAUUUUGCUGUAUAUUUUGACAUCUUCCUAUGGUUCGAUUGAGUACAAGUUUUUUGGUUUGAUUA